AGUGAACGCUGGCGGUAGGCCUAACACAUGCAAGUCGAACGGCAGCACAGUAAGAGCUUGCUCUUACGGGUGGCGAGUGGCGGACGGGUGAGGAAUACAUCGGAAUCUACUUUUUCGUGGGGGAUAACGUGGGGAAACUUACGCUAAUACCGCAUACGACCUACGGGUGAAAGCAGGGGAUCUUCGGACCUUUCGCGAUUGAAUGAGCCGAUGUCGGAUUAGCUAGUUGGCGGGGUAAAGGCCCACCAAGGCGACGAUCCGUAGCUGGUCUGAGAGGAUGAUCAGCCACACUGGAACUGAGACACGGUCCAGACUCCUACGGGAGGCAGCAGUGGGGAAUAUUGGACAAUGGGCGCAAGCCUGAUCCAGCCAUACCGCGUGGGUGAAGAAGGCCUUCGGGUUGUAAAGCCCUUUUGUUGGGAAAGAAAAGCAGCAGGUUAAUACCCCGCUGUUCUGACGGUACCCAAAGAAUAAGCACCGGCUAACUUCGUG
rnacentral:rRNA from 1 species